rnacentral:rRNA from 1 species
UCUGGUGGCGAUGGCGAGAAGGUCACACCCGUUCCCAUACCGAACACGGAAGUUAAGCUUCUCAGCGCCGAUGGUAGUUGGGGCAAGCGCCCCUGUGAGAGUAGGACGUCGCCAGGC